rnacentral:rRNA from 1 species
GAGUUUGAUCGUGGCUCAGAUUGAACGCUGGCGGCAUGCCUUACACAUGCAAGUCGAGCGAAGAAACCCCUUCGGGGUGGAUUAGCGGCGGACGGGUGAGUAACACGUGGGUAACCUACCUCAAAGAGGGGGAUAGCCUCCCGAAAGGGAGAUUAAUACCGCAUAAAAGGUGAAUACCGCAUGGUAAAUACCUUAAAGGAGCAAUCCGCUUUGAGAUGGGCCCGCGGCGCAUUAGCUAGUUGGAGGGAUAAAGCCCCCAAGGACGACGAUGCGUAGCCGACCUGAGAGGUGAACGGCCACAUUGGAACUGAGAUACGGUCCAGACUCCUACGGGAGGCAGCAGUGGGAAGUAUUGCACAAUGGGCGAAAGCCUGAUGCAG